ACUGCAUCCCCUAGCGGCGCCCGGGUGGCUGCAGCCGCUGGCCCGAAAAUGCUGCUCGGGCGAGCAGGGGUCAGGCGGGAAAAGAAGACUCCAAAUCCACUCUCUGCUCGCCCCCAGGGCAAUGCUGCCAGGAGAGGGAGUGGGUUCCCCCGCAGGCUAUCCCACCGAUGGGGCUGAGAGCUUAAUUUGGGGUUUUAUUUGAAUUGGAGACAUUGUUCCCUCUUCGCUCCUCUACCCCAUAAAAUUCCCUACAAAUGCAAAAAUUCGAGAUAGAAGAAGCCGUCCCUGAAAUUGCUGUCUAACAUUCACCGGAAACCUCUCCAUAAACAAGGAGAAACGAAUGCACACGCAUUUUUGCUAAGAAGCCCGGGAUUAAGAUUUAAGGAUACAAGCUGAAAGAAAAAAUGAAAAAUGCUUCUCCGCGCGUCAAUCGAGGGGUGGAUGCGCCACGCAGCGUGAGCCCAGCUCACAGCCACGCGUAAGACCAAAAGCUGCCAUGGGUUCUGCGCGCGGAGACCUCAGAGCCGAAGAGAGAAGUCCCCGCGUCAGAAACGCUGCGGAUGCCAGGUCUUGAAAAUGCUGACUUCUGAGGCUAAGAAUUAUUUCAAAGACAAAAAGAAAAGACUGGAGCAGCCGGCGGAGCUCGGGUGGAGGAAAGCGAGGAGGCGACCAGGAGGAUGCCGCCGCCGCCGCCGCAGGGCCCGGGGCUUCUGCAGGGCGCAAGGCCUCCCUCACCAGGGUAAGGGGCUGGCGAUCAACCUGGACGCCUGGGACCUUGGGAGCAAGCAUCCCGCAGCCGAGCAGGCGACGGCGCGGCCACCGCCUAGAGAGGAGCCGGGGCCCGGGGCGGCGUGCGGGUCGGCAGCAGCCGGCUUGGCCUAUCCGAAACCCCAGGCCUGGAAGCGGCUGCUUUAGGCGUCAAGUUGAGCGGGGUAUGUGUGUCCUCUUGGGAAAAAGGUGAGAAAUGGAGCCGGACUUUCUCCACUCGGUAGGGGUUAAGCUACCACACACACCCCCAAACACAUGCCCACGUGCAAGUCCCUCCCACCCGCCCUCCCAGGGGCGAAGAGACCCUGUCCCAGUGGAAGUGGGGAAACCCAGUCGGGUACAGAAAGCAGAGGCCAUGGCGCAGAGCGGAGGCGCGGCUUUCUGGGGCUCAGCCCUAGGGCUACAGACCCAGGGCGCGGAGAUGCUCGCGGCCGGGCCACCCACCAGAGCCAGGCAACCGGCGCUUCCAGGCGAGCUCCGCGGGGCCGAGGUGCCGGGAGAAGCGGCCCCGGGCGCCCGCGCGCUGCCCGACCUGGGUAACAGGCAAAGCGGAGCCCCGGGGUCGAAGUCCUAAAGUUACUAAUCCCGCGGAGGGGGAGAGAGCGUGCCUCGGGCCGCCCGGGGCGGUCAUUUGAGCGUGUUUACUUAAAGACUUUGCAAGCAGAGCGCGCGCGAAAUCGUCGGAUUUCCAGCGAGGCAGCAAAUAUUUGCAGGCAGAAGAAAGAAGCGGAGCCGAGCCGAGCCGCCGAGUCCCUCCCCCCGGAGCCCCGGAGCCCCGGCGCCUGCCUGGGCGGUCCCGGCCGCGCAGACAGAAAAGAAGCCGGGAAUCUGCGGGGCUGGGGGGCGGGGAGCGACACCAAAGGCCAGAAACUGCAGCACGGCCCGAGGCCCUGGCGAGCUGGGCCUGGGGGAGGAGAAGUCCCUUCCCAUUCCAGCUCGAUCAAUCUUGCUGGGCUGCGAUCGGUCAAUAAAAACGGUGUGAAGCGGCCGCUGUCGCUGUGAGUCUGGGGAGGAAGUGGAGGCCAAAGGUGUCGAGGCCGGCGCCAGUACCCCGCACCAGCCGGGUCCGCGGCCCCGCGGUCUGCACGUCGCAGGCCGGGGGCCAGAGCUUUGCCGGCAGCCGAGAGCGGCCCGGCGGGGCCUUUAAUUGGGUGUCUCCAUUUUAAUAGAGGCCAUUGUUGGAGCAAUUAGAGAAAGACAAUAACCGCCCAGAGACGUUUAAUUCGAUUCCCUGCGCCCGCCGCAGUACGCACCGGGGCGCUCUGGAAGAGUGGCCGAGGCUGCGCGGAAGGGAGGGUCCGCUUGGGGAGGCGCCGGCUUCUUUCCUUGCUUGCUUUGCCUUCGGUGUGGGAAUUGUAAAGGGCGACUGGGGCAAGAUGAAAGCGGGGCGAGGGCGACCUGAGCCAGGCCAGGGCCGGCCUCUCUAGCCCACGCCGGGCGCCCGCGGGACCGCCGCGCCUUUCGCGGCGCGCGUCCAGCUGUGGCCGCCGCGGAGGUCCCCAGCGCCUGUUCAAAGGAGAGAAGCCGGAGGACCGGGCCGUGAAAACUGGCCUCCUUCCUCCUUAGCCCCGGGUCCCCAUUUCUGUCACCCGAACCAUGUCCAUAUUUCCUUCCCUAUGGUGGGAGGAGGGGCAAAGGAGAGAUCCCGGGUAUUGGAGCGCGCACACCUCCGUCUCCAACCCAGCCAGCCUCACCGCCCCCUCCUCCGCCUCGGCCCCUGGAUUAGGUUACCCUGGCCGCGCAAGGGUUUCUACUGGAUAGGACUAUAGCACAGGUAAAGCUGUAUAAACAGCUCGCCGGCUGCCGGGCGGGAGGGUUAUGCCGGGGACACGGCUCCAGGCGCCGCCGCUGGCCCCGGCUGCGCGGGCCACACCGCGGGGAGCCCGCUGCGGCAGGGCGCCCCGGACCGCGCAGGUUAAAUACAUAUUAUCUCUGUCUCUGCCACUCGGGCCCCCGUUUUCUUUCCCUUGCGAGCUGAAAUGCGGAGAGCGGGGAGCAAGACCUAAACGGGAAGAAAAGGCAGUCGGGCAGUGGGCAAUACUGGUUGAGGAUCCCGGCCCAGCAAGGCUGGCUCUCUUCAAACAAAACCCAGAGAGCAGGGAACUUGGGGGAAAGCAGAGAAAGAGGGACCCUAAAACUCACUGGCAAUGGGAAGAUGAUGGAGGCGGGUGCGUCCAAGGGGCAACUCUCCUCGCGGCUCCCACGCCCACGCGCCCCGGGCCAGGAGUCUACCUUCCCCGUGAAAUGAGCUAUCGUUUUGGGGAUGGUAUGUGAUUUGAUUUACCCUUUUUUCUUUUCCUUCCUUUAGUUCUUUUUUCUUUUUCUUUUUUCUUUUUUUUUCUGUUUGUUUGUUUGUUUUGCUUAUUCAUCGAUCACCGUUUAAAACUCGGAAGGAAACCCGCCCAGGCCAGGAGAGCCGCGAGCCGUGGGGAGAGUCAAAAAAGAGGAGAUGCGCUGGGAGAUUCCCCCCGCCCCCGCACUCCGCCCCCAGCCCGGCCCCGGCCUCCACUUCGAGGGAUCCUGACCCUCCCACCGCCACUACCACCUUUUCCCCGGUUGAGAAAACCCCUGAUUGUAGCGAGAUAAAAAUUGGACCCGACCUCUCCUCCGUCCCAGGGGGCCGCUCAGCCACACCGCUAUAGCACCCAGGACUCCGGCCCCUGCACCAAGGAAAGGCUCCAGCCUGGCAGAAAUUCACCCAUUUCAAGGCUUGGCCCACCAGGCCUUAGCAUUGCCGGGUGAGGUGGGGUGCACGCGGUGUUCAGUCUGGCCAGUCGGAGUCACCUGCUCCACUCCCCCGGCCUGGUCACCCACAUCCUCACAGCCACCCAGCUCCUGAGCCCCCUGGCCAACCACAGCCCCAACCCCCAGCGCUGGCCUCAGCCGAGUCUCCUCCGUCUGCUUCAGUUUGGCCUUUUAGGAGGAGAAGGAGGGCUUUAUCUGGGGACUAUUGUGUUUUGACUCAUCUAGAUUAGCCUAGGAGCUGGAGUGUGAUUGUAGCGGGACACUCUGGCAGGGGAUGUGUUCACAGCACGGAUAGGAAAAGAGGGGGAGGGGGACUCCAUUCAGAUCUUGGAGACAGUAGAGGCGCGCUUUUAAAAGCACAAACCGUUCUUGUCUUCCUUUGGACAUGCUAGAGACCACCUGGUGAAAAAAAAAAUCCAUGUUUGUGCCCGACUCAGAGGUGCAAAGGAGGAGGUUUGGCAUGCGCACCCUUCUCCCGGCCUCCCUUGGUCCCGGACUGCCCCCUACCCGCAGCCCCUCCCUCCGGGCAGCUCAGCUCUAGGCUGCCUUCCACCUCGCGGACCCUAAGCAAUUUGUUAUAUAAAACAAAACAGCAACCAGACGCAUGUGCCUGUUCUUCACUAACGCCAGCAGACCGGCAGCGACGGAUACCCGGUGGACCUCAGCCGGGACGCCUCGGGCAGCAGCUUCUUGCCCGCUGCCGCACCCACCUCUGCACCCCAGCUCGGGUCAGCCCAGCAGCCAAAGCAAAAGGGGGAUUCCUCAGUUUGCUCCCUUGGAGGCUACAAAGCCUCUCUCUGGUUAUUCCAACCGUUAAGUAAAAAAGAGGUGAUGGGAAAGAUUUGGUCUGCACACAAAGAUAUACCAGGAGAAGAAUGCACAUUUAUGUGUAAAAUGGCUUAGGCACCAAGAAUGAGACAUCACUUCAGUGCAGCCUAGAAAUAGUUAAAAAUAACCGAAUGCUAGAGGACAGAGGUGGUUUUGGGAUCUGCCCCACACUCCUUAUCAGGAUCCCUAAUUCCCUGCCACCUCCUAUGGUUCCAGGACGCAAACUGCUUUAACCUCCAGAAGAGGGGUUUUCAGCCACCUGGCUCCCACCUACCUGCCGGUUCCCCAGGCACUCUGUGUGACCCAGGGCAACUGGACAACCCAAAAGAAAACCCCUACCAAACAAUGCUCAGGGCUUCCCACUCCCAUCCCUUCUCUGCGCCCCUGACUGUCCCCACCUCGUUUAUCUUCUGCAAGAAGGCAGGGUGUAAAUGUCAAAUAAAGAAAAAUGCAGCUUGCCAGAUCUCCUUGCUUUUGGUGGGGACAGAAUAGCCCCAGUGCUGGGGCUGGCAGAGAUCUCUUGUGCAGAGUGGAGGAUGGGCCCGUGGAUUGCAGCCGCUCCGCAUUUUCUAAGCCCUGCGGCUUCUUGGGCCAGGGACUUAAGGCUUUACGGGGCAGCUGGCUGGGAGCUGCAAGCAGGGCCUCCUGCUUGAUCCCACCGAAAGACUCCAUAAUCAGACCCCCUAUGCGACCCGACACCCAAUGGGGUCUUGGUCUGAACUGACACCACGCCCCGACUGGGUUCAAAUGGGUAGAAAACAAUUCCGUUCUUCUGAAUGGCACAAACAUGUCAUGGUAAGCCCCUGACACACACACACACACACACACACACACACACACACACACACACUGCCAGCCAUUUGGGCCCCCAAGCAUCUCAUUUACAGAUGCCUGGAUGGACUCAACCUGCCUGGCUAGACCCCCAGCCCACCCACUGCUACUACCACUACCUUCUCGGCAGCAGCCGCUAGGCAGAGGAGGCUUUGGAAAUGCUACUUCAACAUGGAUCCCUUUAAAGUUCUUAAUCUCCCAUCUGCGACCCCAGCAUCCUGGUGAGCAUGGACAAUAGGGAGGAGAGAAGGACCAGGAAAUAUGGGAACGAAGCCGAGGGAGAUGCCGCACUUUCCCCCCUGCCCUUGCCAGAAUCACCGGUGUCACUUUCCUCAGGCACCCUGUUGGUGUCCGAGAGAAAGAAAAGGCAUGUAAAGCAGCUGUCCUGCCCAGAUUCACUCCACUUCCUUGACAUUUUAACAAUAUCUGUCUUCAGGGGGGAACUGCCUCUGAGUGACUUUUUGGAGGUCUGUUGGUCUGCUGUCCCGGGAGUUAAGUCCAAAUCUUGUCCUCUCUGCCCCUUCCGCUUCGGAUGCCCCUGGGCACCCUCUGGGGAGGCUGCGGUUUUCUCACCCACCUCAGGGUGCUCCUGGAAGCAAAGAAGCCUCCGGACCCCUAGCUUCCCGGGGGUAUGCCAGAUGCAGACACAUCUGGGUUCCAACUUUAUCUUACAGAGCAGAGCUGUUUCUUUAAUUAUAUGCAGAGACAAUGAGCCUCAACACACACCUUUAAACAGAGGAAAAUAAACAUGAAAUUGACACUGAAGCCACCUUUAGAAGAAGGCUCCUGGGCACAGGGGUUGUUUUCCCCAAUCCUCUGCCCUCCUUGCAGUGGGAAACGUGUCUCCGGCCCUUUCCAAGCAUUCCCACGGGCUCUCAUUCUUCCGUUGGGUUUUUCUUCACAUCCCUACUUCUACCAGCUCUUUCCUGCAAACGAGGACAUCCACACACUCACACACCGUACCCGCCCAAGGUCACCACAGAAACCCAGAGAUUUCCAGUGACCAAAAAGAACAAUAAGAACUGGGUUCUAGUUUAGUUUCUUUCAGAGGGAGUCUGCCCUUUGGAGAGGAGGCCUCCUCCUAAUUCUCUCCACGUGGAGCGGGCAGAGGGAGUGCGGAGUUAGAGAGGGAAGAGAGUGAUAUUCACUGACCUGGGCAGCUCGCUCCCGAGGGCCAGCUGUUUUUUAUUUUUUUUCCUGACUCGCCCGGAGAUCUGAAGGCAGAAAUGACAGGCAGAGUUCGCCACUGUGGCCGCCGCUGCCGUCCUGGCCGCUGGAACUGCUCACCGCAUCUCAGGCGGGCUUCCAGCGAGAGGAACAAAAGCCACCUCAACGCAACAGGCUUUACUGGCUGCCUCUUACAGGAUGGAUUUCAGAAUCCAAGGCUGUACGGGGAGUCCCCUCCCAACCACUGACAGCACCAGAAUCUCCCGGCUUCAGGAAGUGGAAGGGGCAGGAGUCAUUGGCUGCAGCGAACGCAAGAUUCUCAAAGAAAUAGUUUCCUAACAGAAUGACUGAUACCAUUGUGGAAAGAGACAUUAUUCAGGACAUUAUCUGUUUCAUUCUUCCGUCAAGGACAUUUGGAACCACAAAUCAGUCAGGGGAUAAAGAUCCUCACUGUGCCUCACUGUAGACACCUUUGGAAGAGAAACACCUUGUCAGCCACAGAAAUUAAGCUCUGCCAGUUCCAUCUGGCUCUGACGGCAGAUCAUCACACCAGAAGAGCGUCUCGGUUUCAUGAGGUGAGGGUCUGUUUCUCAAAUACCAUCUCCCUCAAUAAAAUCACUAGUCAGGACAAUCCCCGCCCCCCCCGCAUUACUUCUCUUAAUAAAGUAUUGAUGCUAUUCAAAUGACAGUGCUGGGCUAAAUGAAAGCCGGUCAGGGUUUUGCUUCCAACUGGAACACUGCAAGCCCUCUAAAGGGAAAUACUUCUCAUUCCUUUGUGUCGAAUUCUGCUACAGUAGUUCCUCAAAUUGCUGCUGUUGCGAUUUCCUUCUCCCUCAAAAGUCAAAACCCAUUUUUCCCUGAUGUUUGGGUCCCUGAACUUUUUCUUCUGAUCAAAUCAUCCUCCCCACUUAACCCUCUCCCCUCUCACCCAAUAUAGGCUUUUCUUUUCCGGUUUUGCUUGACUUCAUUAAGGAAAGUAAAUUAAUCUCUGUUUGUCUGUGGUAUUUGUAAGUUGCUCUUUUUUCUUCGGUAUUACUUUCUGGAGAAUGACUACGCCCAACUUUCUAACUUUUUCUUUGUAAUGUGGAUGUUUUAUUUUCUAAUCCACAUUUCUCUUUGCAGUUUCUUGAACUUCCUUUGGUUGGUGUCACAGCCAGCCACCCAGUAGAGACUGAGACCACCAGUUCAUUUCACACAGGCCACUGAACAGUCAUAAGAUGGUGACAACUUUUGGUCUCUAGUGACCUGGACUGGAUCCGACUCACUGACCUAGAGGUGAAAGGCUCUGUAUUCCAUUACUAAUCCCUCGAGCUCUCCAGCCCCCUGAAAAUGAUUCUUUGGUUUUAUUAUUGCAAAGACCAUUUAUAAAAUCAUGAACUGGAUUUAGGAAAGCAACCAUGAAAUAGCAAGGGACAACAAACUGAUUGAAAUUCCUUAAAUGUAGCAUGGGCUGAAGUCUCUCAGACAGUAAGAUUGGGGGGAAAGUUAUAUAUAGGCACCUCCAUUCUGAUUUCAGUAGCGUGACCUGCUCACUUAAACGUGGCAACUUCAGAUCAUGGACCACGCCUCAAGGAACUAAAUCCUAAAUAAAGAAAAUGGAAAAGCAAACUAUGAAAUAGCCAAUAAUCUUUAUUUUGCACUUCCCCCACCCCUCACCCCUCUCCAAAAACCA
rnacentral:lncRNA from 1 species